CACAUUUCAAUCCCUACAACAAACGGAUAUUACUUAUAGCUGUAUAUAAUACUCACUGCAGCCCAGGAAUUGCAGAAUAUUGCUGCCAUAUUGAAUUCUACCAAGCUGGAGUCAGGGACUAGAUUCGACUUAAAGAUUUUUAAAACGUUUUAUGAUUGGGGGGGGGGGGGUUGUGGUUGAGAUAAAGUGCAGCCACAAUAAUUUAUUAUAGUACCAGUGUACCAAUUUCCCAAACCAAGCACAGAAGGGCAUAUAUGUGUUCAGGGCUUCAUCCCCCCCCCCUCAAUAGUUUUCAUGAUAGCUCCUCCCCAACUGCACAGUGAUUUCACGGUCGGCAGUUUCAGAUUCACAUUCGGAUAUGAAAAUAGAUCUGUGUCUGGCGUAUAAAAUGCCGAAUUACUCAAUCAUUUUCUACGCAAUAAACUUGUUAAUCAAUUUCAUUCUUCUUCAGAACAUUACGCAUUCAACAAAUGUAUUUUGAAGGCUUUAACGCAAAAUGUGAAAUCAGGAAAAAUCGCAAAAAACAGACGAUCAAGACGCGAAUUCAAGACACGAACAGUUUUACAAUGUAUUAAAUAUAAUGGUACGUACCAUGAAUAUCUUUGAGAAAUUAGAUUUUAAGAAUAUCGGAAGUUUCUGGUAAACUUAGCAAACAAGCCCGCCUGACUAGCCUUAUUUUGGUGAGCGGCCCAGCGGAAAUUCCAUACAAAUGUAUAGUAAAAACAAAAUUUUCAAAACGCCGUAACUCGUGCCCUGAAUGUCCAAACAUCAUGAAAUUUUCGGUAUAGACUAAUUUGCGCUAUGCAGAUUUCAAUUCUGAGGUCCAUUUUUAUCAAAGAUCUGUAGAUAGUGAGAUAAAAAUUGAAGACGUCAACUCGGAUGAUUCGGAGAAUAUUUGGCCUAUAAAAGCGAACUUUCCCAUAACCGUGUGGGGCCGUGGGCUAUUAAAUACGGUAGUCAACUUUAAAAAUAACACAGAAUUUGAAGCUAUGAAAAUUACCUCGAAAAUUAUCAACUAUUAAGGCCUGACGUCUUUGGUAGGGAGGCAGAAGAAGAGGUUUUGUAAAUAACGCCAUAUUGACAUGGCGUCUUUUUGGCAGGUAUAUUUAACGUAUAUUCGACCUUCCCAAACAUUGCCAAGUAUGCCGGAAAAAUUUCGUGAGAAAAUAUAAAGGGCUCAUAUACAAAAUAAAAUUAUUCUAAAAGCAUACCACAACAAAGUUUUCACUGAACAUGACAAUACAAAUUUGGAAAAAUCGAAGAUUUUACAAACAGAC